UACGGAGGGGGCUAGCGUUGUUCGGAAUUACUGGGCGUAAAGCGCACGUAGGCGGCUUUGCAAGUUAGAGGUGAAAGCCCAGAGCUCAACUCUGGAACUGCCUUUGAUACUGUCGAUCUGGAGUAUGGAAGAGGUGAGUGGAAUUCCGAGUGUAGAGGUGAAAUUCGUAAAUAUACGAAGGAACGCCAAAAGCGAAGGCAGCUCUCUGGGUCCCUACCGACGCUGGGGUGCGAAAGCAUGGGGAGCGAACAGG
rnacentral:rRNA from 1 species